rnacentral:rRNA from 1 species
CGAGCGAGAAGCUACCUUCGGGUAGUGGACAGCGGCGCACGGGUGAGUAACGCGUACACAAUCUACCUUAUAGAGGAGAAUAGCCCUGGGAAACUGGGAUUAAUGCUCCAUAGUAUUACACUUUGGCAUCAAGGUGUAAUUAAAGCUCCGGCGCUAUAAGAUGAGUGUGCGUACUAUUAGCUAGUUGGUAAGGUAACGGCUUACCAAGGCUACGAUAGUUAGGGGGCGUGAGAGCGUGACCCCCCACACGGGUACUGAGACACGGACCCGACUCCUACGGGAGGCAGCAGUAAGGAAUAUUGGACAAUGGGCGCAAGCCUGAUCCAGCCAUCCCGCGUGGAGGAUGACUGCCCUAUGGGUUGUAAACUCCUUUUAUUUGAGAAGAAACGCCUGGAUUUAUCCGGGCCUGACGGUAUCUUAUGAAUAAGCACCGGCUAACUCCGUGCCAGCAGCCGCGGUAAUACGGAGGGUGCAAGCGUUAUCCGGAAUCACUGGGUUUAAAGGGUGCGUAGGUGGUUUAGUAAGUCAGAUGUGAAAGCCCGGCGCUCAACGUCGGAAUUGCAUUUGAUACUGCUGAACUUGAAUCAGGUUGAGGUGGGCGGAAUGUGGCAUGUAGCG